GGAUAAUAUUUUGAACCGCAUGGUUCAAAAGUGAAAGACGGUCUUGCUGUCACUUAUAGAUGGAUCCGCGCUGCAUUAGCUAGUUGGUAAGGUAACGGCUUACCAAGGCAACGAUGCAUAGCCGACCUGAGAGGGUGAUCGGCCACACUGGAACUGAGACACGGUCCAGACUCCUACGGGAGGCAGCAGUAGGGAAUCUUCCGCAAUGGGCGAAAGCCUGACGGAGCAACGCCGCGUGAGUGAUGAAGGUCUUCGGAUCGUAAAACUCUGUUAUUAGGGAAGAACAUAUGUGUAAGUAACUGUGCACAUCUUGACGGUACCUAAUCAGAAAGCCACGGCUAACUACGUGCCAGCAGCCGCGGUAAUACGUAGGUGGCAAGCGUUAUCCGGAAUUAUUGGGCGUAAAGCGCGCGUAGGCGGUUUUUUAAGUCUGAUGUGAAAGCCCACGGCUCAACCGUGGAGGGUCAUUGG
rnacentral:rRNA from 1 species